UACGGAGGGGGCUAGCGUUGUUCGGAAUUACUGGGCGUAAAGCGCGCGUAGGCGGACCUGCAAGUCGGGGGUGAAAGCCCGGAGGCUCAACCUCGGAACUGCCUUCGAUACUGCGGGUCUCGAGUCCGGGAGAGGUGAGUGGAAUUCCUAGUGUAGAGGUGAAAUGCGCAGAUAUCGGGAAGAACACCCGUGGCGAAGGCGGCUCUCUGGGACGGUACUGGACGCUGAGACGCGAAAGCGUGGGGAGCGAACAGG
rnacentral:rRNA from 1 species